rnacentral:rRNA from 1 species
UGGGGAAUAUUGCACAAUGGGCGCAAGCCUGAUGCAGCCAUGCCGCGUGUGUGAAGAAGGCCUUCGGGUUGUAAAGCACUUUCAGCGAGGAGGAAGGUGGUGAGCUUAAUACGCUCAUCAAUUGACGUUACUCGCAGAAGAAGCACCGGCUAACUCCGUGCCAGCAGCCGCGGUAAUACGGAGGGUGCAAGCGUUAAUCGGAAUUACUGGGCGUAAAGCGCACGCAGGCGGUUUGUUAAGUCAGAUGUGAAAUCCCCGGGCUCAACCUGGGAACUGCAUUUGAAACUGGCAAGCUAGAGUCUCGUAGAGGGGGGUAGAAUUCCAGGUGUAGCGGUGAAAUGCGUAGAGAUCUGGAGGAAUACCGGUGGCGAAGGCGGCCCCCUGGACGAAGACUGACGCUCAGGUGCGAAAAGCGUGGGGAGCAAAACAGGAUUAGAUACCCUGGUAGUCCACGCUGUAAAACGAUGUCGAUUUUGGAGGUUGUGCCCUUGAGGCGUGGCUUCCGGAGCUAACGCGUUAAAUCGACCGCCUGGGGAGUACGGCCGCAAGGUUAAAAACUCAAAGGAAUUGACGGGGUC